rnacentral:ribozyme from 1 species
AUAGAUGUGGGUCGAAAGAGAGAAAAAAAGUAAAAGGAAGAAAGAAAGAAAGAAUAGACAAAAGAUUGAAUUUUGUGUAUUAUUUU